UGCCAGUGUGUGGGCAGGCCCCCUGGUCAACACGGCCUUGCUGCUCGGCAAAGGGAACACACUCCUGCUGUGGGCUGCCCGGGGUCCACCCGUGGCGAGGGCCAGAGGGCCGUGCUAACCUCUCCACGGGAUGGAAGCCUGCCGUCAUUGAAAACGUGCUCUCUAAGGCUACAGGUCGCUAGCACAUGGUGAACUAGAACAAGAACGCUAGAAGCUUGUGCCAGAUCCAGCACAACUGUGGGCUCCGCUCUGCCAACUCACCCCAGCUCUGCCCUGCGAAGUCCGCUGUUGAAGAUGAAGUAUCAAACCCCAAGGCCAUUUUCAACCUAAAGGCUUUUA